rnacentral:rRNA from 1 species
AUUGAACGCUGGCGGCAGGCCUAACACAUGCAAGUCGAGCGAGCGGCGGACGGGUGAGUAAUGUAUGGGGACUGCCCGUUAGAGGGGGAUUACUACUGGAAACGGUAGCUAAUACCGCAUACUAUCGGAUAACCCAUGUGGGAUUAGCUAGUAGGUGAGGUAAUGGCUCACCUAGGCGACGAUCCCUAGCUGGUCUGAGAGGAUGAUCAGUCACACUGGAACUGAGACACGGCCCAGACUCCUACGGAGGCAGCAGUGGGGAAUAUUGGACAAUGGGCGCAAGCCUGAUGCAGCCAUGCCGCGUGUAUGAAGAAGGCCUUAGGGUUGUAAAGUACUUUCAGUUGGGAGGCGUUACCGACAGAAGAAGCACCGGCUAACUCCGUGCCAGCAGCCGCGGUAAUUC